CGAUGCCCAGUUUCUACCAUGAGGGACCACCACCUAAGAUUGAACUAAAAAAGCUUCCACCAACCCGUGCAAAAUCACCAAAGCUUGGCAGAAGGAAGAGUUGCAGUGAUUCAGUAAAUACCUUCAGUAAAUACCUCUCUGGCAGACAAGGUUAAAGGAGCUUUUGGUGAGGGAAAUCGUCAAAGCCUAGAUAGUUACAAAGAAGAAACCAGCAUCCCUGUUUCUACCAACAGAAAGGAUCAGCACAACUCCGUAAAUGGUCAUGCUAUUUGCAAAAUAAAAGAUGAAUAUGACCAAGUGGAAGAAGUAAACAUGUCAGUUGCCUGUGGUAAAUGGACAGAGUAAUGCAAGCAUCAAUGUUCAAUAUUAACUUAUUAAGUUUGUGUUGAGUUCUUAAUUUAUACGAGUCAAACCCACUGUUGCCUUUUGUGACUUAUGUGAAGAAUGUGCCUCUUGUUCCCUUUUGACAUGCAAGGGCUUGUUGCUGUGUUUGUGUCAUGCAUGAAGUGUAAAUUUCUUGUAAG
rnacentral:misc_RNA from 1 species